AUGCCUUGUGAUAAAGGUACAAUAAUUUCACCAUAACAACUAUAAAAAGAUUAUCAAAAUGAAGUUAUGGUAUAAU
ncrna:unclassified sequences dfrA-dnaX RNA